rnacentral:rRNA from 1 species
CAAUACACCCUGAAUGACGAGCGGCGGACGGGUGAGGAACACGUAGGAACCUGCCCUCAAGCGGGGGACAACCAUGGGAAACCGUGGCUAAUACCGCAUACACCCGCAAGGGGAAAGCUACCCGCAAGGGCGGCACUUGAGGAGGGGCCUGCGUCCGAUUAGCUGGCUGGUGGGGUAAUGGCCUACCAGGGCGAUGAUCGGUAACUGGUCUGAGAGGACGACCAGUCACACUGGGACUGAGACACGGCCCAGACUCCUACGGGAGGCAGCAGUGGGGAAUAUUGGACAAUGGGGGCAACCCUGAUCCAGCGAUGCCGCGUGAGUGAAGAAGGCCUUCGGGUCGUAAAGCUCUUUAGUCCGGGAAGAAGGUGAUGUGGUGCAUAGCCACGUUGCUUGACGGUACCGGAAGAAUAAGCACCGGCAAACUCUGUGCCAGCAGCCGCGGUAAUACAGAGGGUGCGA